AGCGCGGAGGGCGGGACUUGGAAGAGGAGAGUCGGUCUCCAUGGCAACGCGGGGCGCUGACGGGGCUCCAGCCUCUCCGGCGGCGGCGUCGAGGUUUCCCCGGAGGGAGCGGGGCCGCGCGGGGAAGAUCAGUUUGGAACUCCACAGUCCUAGUGACUGCAAUUGCUUAGGCAAGGAAAAUGAGCUCUGAAGAUGUUUGGAAAAGGGAUGAUUCUGAAGAAGAAGAAGAAGAGUAUGUUUCCAGUGAGUCAGAAGAACAAUCUGAACCAGAAUUGGAACCAGAGGAUCCUGAAGAUCCUAUUUAUGCCACAGCUCCAACAGUUAAUAUUCGGGAUGAAGGUUCCAUUGACGUGCACACAUGUCCUGCCUUUCAGUGCCUUGAUGAGGUAGUGUACUCUUAGUUUCCUUUAUGUCAGCAUGAUAGAUACUAUUUUCAGUUGAAUUGCCUCUGUAGGAAAUUAAAAACAAAGCAACUUUUAAGUACCUAUUGUGAAAAUAGCAUUGAUCCAUCACAACAGCAACUGAAAACAAGAUACAGGAAACCAUCUUGUCAAAAAGCAUGCAAACUGAAAUAAAACAAAUGAAAAACUCUGCACUGUUAUCCAAGCACACCACUUUGCCUUAUUGGGGUAAUGUUCUUGACUUUGGUGGAAUGUUCAUUAUCUCGUUUCCACAAAUAUGUUAAACAGAAUUCCUAAGAGUCCCUUUCAAGGCUUUGCAUAAGAAACAGCAAGGCAUAGAAUAUGUGUCAAAUGUAAACUGUUACUUUGCAGAGCUGACACGAUUGCUCUUUAUAGUGAUCUGUUCCAGGGGUAAUCAGCUUGGUGCCUUUGAAAUACAGUGAUACCUCGGGUUACAUACGCUUCAGGUUACA